CCAACCUCUCCUCCUGGCCUCCCACCUCUCUUUCUCCAGGCACCUCACACAUAAAUCACGGGUGGGAGGCCGGCUUGGUUCCCCCUGCGCCGGGAAGCUGCUGUCCCCUCCCUUGCUCACACGGGGUUUUGCAGCAGUGGUGGCCGCUGCCACUGAUUCGGGCACUGGGGAAGCAGUUGAUUCGUCUACUGCCAGCAACCUGGAGUUGCCUACGCGGACGCGGACAGACGACAGAGAGAAAGAGAAAGAGAGAGAGAGGAAGAGGGGGUGGGGGGAGAGGACUUGGAGCGAAAACCUUCUUCAUCCAUGUGGAGGGCGGUCUGAGGGAGCCACUGUCUUUGCCUUGUCCACAGACUGGUCUGAGUUUUCUCUUCUUCUGGCAGUGGCACCUCCACUGAGCUUUCAAACCAAGUCAUUGGGAGUUAGUGUCUUCCUGGCAGGGAAGGGAGGAGUUGGCAAGAAUUUGGCUCACCCAUUCCCUCUGCAAUCCUCUGGUGUGGAGCCCUCAGCCCACUGGAAGAUUUAAUAACCCCACCGGCUGCAGGAUAGCAGAGAGAGUACCCUCCCUGCUCACCUCCUGGCUUCUCAGCUAUUCAGCGUCCCAGAAAACAAGGCGGUGUUGUACCAAGAGCUUCGGGGAAAUCAGGACCCACUGGACACAGUGAGCCACCUU